AUUGAACGCUGGCGGCAUGCUUUACACAUGCAAGUCGGACGGCAGCACAGAGAAGCUUGCUUCUUGGGUGGCGAGUGGCGAACGGGUGAGUAACAUAUCGGAACGUACCGAGCAGUGGGGGAUAACUAAUCGAAAGAUUAGCUAAUACCGCAUAUAUUCUGAGGAAGAAAGCAGGGGACCAUUUGGCCUUGCGCUGUUUGAGCGGCCGAUAUCUGAUUAGCUAGUUGGUGGGGUAAAGGCCUACCAAGGCGACGAUCAGUAGCGGGUCUGAGAGGAUGAUCCGCCACACUGGGACUGAGACACGGCCCAGACUCCUACGGGAGGCAGCAGUGGGGAAUUUUGGACAAUGGGCGCAAGCCUGAUCCAGCCAUGCCGCGUGUCUGAAGAAGGCCUUCGGGUUGUAAAGGACUUUUGUCAGGGAAGAAAA
rnacentral:rRNA from 1 species